rnacentral:pre_miRNA from 1 species
AUGGUACUCCCUCCGUUCGGAAUUACUUGUCGCAGAAAUGGAUGUAUCUAGACAUAUUUUAGUUCUAGAUACAUUCAUUUUCAAGACAAGUAAUUCCGAACGGAGAGAGUAUGUG